GCGGGAUAGAGAAAUUGGUCAACUCAUCAGGCUCAAGACCUGAAGAUUAUAGGUUUAAAUCCUGUUCCCACCU